rnacentral:lncRNA from 1 species
CAAUUACUGAAUUGGUGGUUUGCCAGUGGGACACAGACCACAGUGCCUCAAAGCUAUAGGAAUUCAAUGCUACAUUAUUUGAUAAUGUGCUCUGAGGUGGAAAUCUUCAAUUGCCCUCAAUCCCAAAUUUCUUCUAGGAUGUCUUCCGGUACGACAAAGCCUGCAAGCUAAACAAGUCAGAAUAAUAUGUUUGCCAUUCAAUGACGAAUUACCGUUGAAACACUGAGAAGGUUGGAGAAAGCCCCCAGGACUGCUGAGGAGGAGUCCAGAGCCCGGGGAGCAGGGGCAGGGGCUUGGGCUCAGGCAGUAAGCAGCAGCGGGACCUCAGGCAUCUUGGAGUCCCCAAUAGCUAGGAGCCACUGCGUGACUUUGCCCUGCCCUG